rnacentral:sRNA from 1 species
AAGAGUUCAAAUCCUCACUUAUUCAAAUGCAAAUGAUAAGCUAUACAUUUUCGGCCGGAAACUUUCUGUUCUAAGAUUUUUUUUUUGGAUGAAUCCUAGCUGUUUUGUAUGUUAUACGGAAUAUAUCGCAGUAAAAAUUCAGAAAAUUUCAAUUUACAAAUAAUUUUACGUGGAUUUCAAAAUAAAAGUAGAAUCUCAAGUAUUAAAAAUUCACGUGAACUCAUUCAAUCAACUCCACGUAGCCACAUAAACAACCAAUUUCUGAUCAAUUUUUGAAUCAUUCCACGACUUUUCCUCACUUUUGAAAGUUCAAAAUCAUCAGAAGCUUGCUAAAUUUAAAAGGAAUUUCUUUAGUGAAAAUGAGUGAGUUCUUAAUUAACUUGUUAGCGCUUUUCAGUUAUUGGGAGAGUUUCAUAUGGGAGAGUUUUAAUUAAAAUUCUGAUUUUUGUUUGCGGACAUGUGGUUCUUAAGACAAAAACUCGGUUAAUUUGAAAUCUUAAUUGUUCAUAUUUGCAGAUUUAAUUCCAAUAGUAUCGUUGAUACUUUGGAAUAAUGUACACGGUGCUCAACUUCUUCCGGAUCUUGGAGCAGAUGAUAUUGGAAAGGAUAACGAAUACUUCUCUCGCCGCAAUCCACGAGCUACUAAUAG